CCUACGGGUGGCUGCAGUAGGGAAUAUUGCUCAAUGGGGGAAACCCUGAAGCAGCAACGCCGCGUGAAGGAUGAAGGUUUUAGGAUUGUAAACUCCUUUUGUUAGAGAAGAUUAUGACGGUAUCUCACGAAUAAGCACCGGCUAACACCGUGCCAGCAGCAGCGGUGAUACGGGGGAUGCGAGGGUGAUCCGGAUUUAUUGGGGUAAAGGGGUGCGGAGGAGGCAGGGUAAGUCAGCGGUCAAACGUCGGUGCUAAACACCGGCUUGCCGUAGAAACUGGUCGGCUUGAGUGAGCGAGAGGAAUGCGGAAUUCGUGGUGUAGCGGUGAAAUGCAUAGAUAUUACGAAGAACGCCGAUUGCGAAGGCAGCUUUCUGGCGCUCAACUGACGCUGAGGCACGAAAGCGUGGGGAGCGAACAGGAUUAGAUACCCUGGUAGUC
rnacentral:rRNA from 1 species